UAAGGGGUGCCCGAAAAUCUCGGGCUGAGAUCAGACCCUCAUACCUGAUCCGGGUAAUGCCGGCGUAGGAAUUCUCUC
rnacentral:ncRNA from 1 species